GACGAACCGAGCGAACGUUAUUCGGAAUCACUGGGCUUAAAGGGCGCGUAGGCGGGUCAGCAAGUCAGGGGUGAAAUCCCACGGCUCAACCGUGGAAGUGCCUUUGAUACUGUUGAUCUCGAGGGAGGUAGGGGCGUGCGGAACUUCCGUGGAGCGGUGAAAUGCGUAGAUAUCGGAAGGAACACCGGUGGCGAAAGCGGCGCGCUGGACCUCUUCUGACGCUGAGGCGCGAAAGCCAGGGGAGCAAACGGG
rnacentral:rRNA from 1 species